UUGAGUUCAGUGAUUCAUCACUGUGCGGC
rnacentral:piRNA from 1 species